AGCAAUCAGCGAGACUCCGUGGGCGUAGGACCCUCCGAGCCAGUGAGAUGAACCCGGUACCUCAGAUGGAAAUGCAGAAAUCACUCGUCUUCUGCGUCGCUCACGCUGGGAGCUGUAGACCUGAGCUGUUCCUAUUCGGCCAUCUUGCGACAGUGUCCAGAAUUAUCACUGGUACAGGAGCAUAUUUAUGUUAAUUUCUUAUUUUGGAUAUUCCUGAACAUUGAAGAUUUUGAAGCUAGUACAAAUUUGAACCACACACUUGUUCAUGAAACAGGCUCAGAGUACAAAUUCUUCAGGAACUCAAGCAGAGAUAGGCUAUGAAAUGAUGAUGGCCAACCAUGGAUAGAAGCUAGUGGGGCUUUCUACUCUGCUUAAACUGUUCCCAUUCCAAUGUGCAAAACACUGCUCAAGAGUUUCCUUGUUGGAGACUGACAGACAGAAAAGAAGAAGAAUGCAUUGUGUUCUCAGAGAAACCCAGACAAGAAAAGAUUGGAGCUGCUGAGCUGAGAGCACUGAGAACUGAGAGCACUCAAUCUUUUAUGUCCUUUUGGAGGUACAGCAUGGGAGAAAUGGGAUCACCUGGUAGUAG
rnacentral:lncRNA from 10 species